GAUGAACGCUGACAGAAUGCUUAACACAUGCAAGUCGAUGGGGAAGUGGUGCUUGCACCAUGGUAACCAUGGCGGACGGGUGAGUAACACGUAAGGAACUUACCUGCGGGACCGGGAUAACAGCAGGAAACUGCUGACAAGACCGGAUAAGGUCAUUAAGCUGCAUAGCUUAGUGAUGAAAGGAGACGCCUGCGGAGAGCCUUGCGUCCUAUUAGCUAGUUGGAGGGGUAACGGCCCACCAAGGCGAAGAUAGGUAGCCGGCCUGAGAGGGUGGACGGCCACAAGGGGACUGAGAUACGGCCCUUACUCCUACGGGAGGCAGCAGUGGGGAAUAUUGGACAAUGGGGGCAACCCUGAUCCAGCAAUUCUGUGUGCACGAAGACGGUUUUCGGAUUGUAAAGUGCUUUCAGCAGGGAAGAAGGAAGUGGCGGUACCUGCAGAAGAAGCGACGGCUAAAUACGUG
rnacentral:rRNA from 1 species